rnacentral:rRNA from 1 species
CUUAGAGAGCUUGCUUUCUUAGCUUAGUGGCGAACGGGUGAGUAACGCGUGAGCAACCUGCCUUUCAGUGGGGGACAACAGUUGGAAACGACUGCUAAUACCGCAUAACAUUCCGAUGGGGCAUCCUGUUGGAAUCAAAGAUUUAUUGCUGAAAGAUGGGCUCGCGUCUGAUUAGCUAGUUGGUGGGGUAACGGCCCACCAAGGCGACGAUCAGUAGCCGGACUGAGAGGUUGAACGGCCACAUUGGGACUGAGAUACGGCCCAGACUCC